ACAAGCCUUGUGGUAGAUAGUUCAGUUUGGCGACGAGGAAAAGUGGAAUCAUCUUGAAGCGGCAUUAUAAACGAACAAAGACCUUUGGCUUCAAUCCGGCGCGACGCCAUCUCCUGCAUGCGACAAUCUACUGAAGUUUCGGAAGACGAUCGACAAGUUGUUGCUCAAUUGAAGGAUAAGAAACCGGUAUCCAGUUUCUUCUGUUCAGCUCCAGUCCUGUGAUUCAAAAGUGAUUGUGUCCUGACAGCUAUUGUUCGCCAUCGCUGAAAUUGGUUUAAUGGUGUGAGUCACGACUGAUUGGCUAUUCCCCUGAUACUAAAUUUCGAUCCGAGGGAUUUCGAGUUUCCGAGAGAGCGAUUCCAAGCAGGUAUCAGCGGCCCGAUACGUCAACUGACGGCUCGUGUGUGGUUGAUUGACCCCGAGUAGACCCCUCAAAGCAUCGGCAAAGGCUGACGGAGUUUCUGGUACUAAUUGGAAACGUGGUAACCACAGCUCAUCGAGGGCAGCUACGCAUCUGUAAACAUGAGGAAUCCUAUGAAAGGCCAAAUGUUGUUUGCCGCCGGCAACAGCCGGAACCAGAUGCCGUCGACGAGGAAUUUCAAGGCUUUCCGGAGGAGGAAAUCAGGCAAAGUAGAAAGCGAAAGAUGAAGUUUGAUGAAGCGAUGCAAGAGGUUGAAAAGUCAACCGAAGACGCUCCGAGGCGUUCGAAAAGAAUACGUCGACAAGUAAACGAUGGUGACUUUGUAUACCGUCAUCGUUAAAGUGUUA